rnacentral:lncRNA from 1 species
GCAAAUAAUCCCCUACUGGACGAUUGUGUUAGUAAAAUCGAAGAUGCGGCUGGAAUUUGAUAUAUUUCUGUAUGUGGAGAGUUGAAGCAAGCCAUUUUCAUGCACUUAGAAGAGCUUGCAAAUUCUUUCAGUGUAUACUUCCCCACCAUAGGGUCAUAACCAGCAUGGCAUAGCCAGCUUCAACAGCAACUCUUCAGAACAACAACGCUGUGAACGCUUUGGUGUCAUCAAAUCGUACCCCACCUUCUUAUUGCUAAGAAAGCCCUGGAGAUACUCAUACAGUUUGUAACAACAUAUCUUUGUGAGAAAUCGUUUUCGAGGAUGGUAGACAUAAAAACGAAGAAAACGAACGGACUCUGAUGCGAAAACGAUAUGAGAGCGGCACUUGCCAAGGGGAAGCCUCGCAUUUCUGAACUUGUGUCUGAAAUGCAACAGCAAAAGACACAUUAAUUUGCAGUAAAUAUUCAUUGAGUUAUGUUUUUGUUUGAAAUUCGAGUCUUGUGCUUUUGUUGUUUUAACAUAGUGCUUUUGGUUGUAACUUAUGCAUGGUUCAUUUUAUGAACUAAUAAAAAUUUUACCUAUA